rnacentral:rRNA from 1 species
UACGGAGGGAGCUAGCGUUGUUCGGAAUUACUGGGCGUAAAGCGCACGCAGGCGGCUUUGUAAGUUAGAGGUGAAAGCCCGGGGCUCAACUCCGGAAUUGCCUUUAAGACUGCAUCGCUUGAAUCCAGGAGAGGUGAGUGGAAUUCCGAGUGUAGAGGUGAAAUUCGUAGAUAUUCGGAAGAACACCAGUGGCGAAGGCGGCUCACUGGACUGGUAUUGACGCUGAGGCGCGAAAGCGUGGGGAGCAAACAGG